UGAUUGAUGGUGCUUGCACCUGAUUGAUUUUGGUCGCCAACGAGUGGCGGACGGGUGAGUAACACGUAGGUAACCUGCCCAGAAGCGGGGGACAACAUUUGGAAACAGAUGCUAAUACCGCAUAACAACGUUGUUCGCAUGAACAACGCUUAAAAGAUGGCUUCUCGCUAUCACUUCUGGAUGGACCUGCGGUGCAUUAGCUUGUUGGUGGGGUAACGGCCUACCAAGGCGAUGAUGCAUAGCCGAGUUGAGAGACUGAUCGGCCACAAUGGGACUGAGACACGGCCCAUACUCCUACGGGAGGCAGCAGUAGGGAAUCUUCCACAAUGGGCGCAAGCCUGAUGGAGCAACACCGCGUGAGUGAAGAAGGGUUUCGGCUCGUAAAGCUCUGUUGUUAAAGAAGAACACGUAUGAGAGUAACUGUUCAUACGUUGACGGUAUUUAACCAGAAAGUCACGGCUAACUACGUGCCAGCAGCCGCGGUAAUACGUAGGUGGCAAGCGUUAUCCGGAUUUAUUGGGCGUAAAGAGAGUGCAGGCGGUUUUCUAAGUCUGAUGUG
rnacentral:rRNA from 2 species